rnacentral:rRNA from 1 species
CUACGGGUUGCAGCAGUGGGGAAUAUUGGACAAUGGGGGCAACCCUGAUCCAGCAAUGCCGCGUGUGUGAAGAAGGCCUUCGGGUUGUAAAGCACUUUCGGUGGGGACAAACAAGGCGGAGCGAAUAUCUCCGUCCCUGAUGGUACCCAAAGAAGAAGCACCGGCUAACUCUGUGCCAGCAGCCGCGGUAAUACAGAGGGUGCAAGCGUUAAUCGGAAUUACUGGGCGUAAAGCGUGCGUAGGUGGUUUGUUAAGUCAGGUGUGAAAUCCUGGGGCUCAACCUCAGAAUUGCGCUUGAUACUGACUAACUCGAGUGUGGUAGAGGAUAGUGGAAUUCCCGGUGUAGCGGUGAAAUGCGUAGAUAUCGGGAGGAACAUCAGUGGCGAAGGCGGCUAUCUGGACCAACACUGACACUGAGGUACGAAAGCGUGGGUAGCAAACAGGAUUAGAUACCCCGGUAGUC